AUGCAUUGGACAUUUCCACAUUAAGUCAUUGACUCUCACACAUGCCUCAUAUAAGUUCUCAUCCUCUAAUUGCUUAAAUGAUGUGAAGUCAUUUCACAGCUU